rnacentral:rRNA from 1 species
UUGAACGCUGGCGGCAGGCCUAACACAUGCAAGUCGAGCGGAUGAAGGGAGCUUGCUCCUGGAUUCAGCGGCGGACGGGUGAGUAAUGCCUAGGAAUCUGCCUGGUAGUGGGGGAUAACGUCCGGAAACGGGCGCUAAUACCGCAUACGUCCUGAGGGAGAAAGUGGGGGAUCUUCGGACCUCACGCUAUCAGAUGAGCCUAGGUCGGAUUAGCUAGUUGGUGGGGUAAAGGCCUACCAAGGCGACGAUCCGUAACUGGUCUGAGAGGAUGAUCAGUCACACUGGAACUGAGACACGGUCCAGACUCCUACGGGAGGCAGCAGUGGGGAAUAUUGGACAAUGGGCGAAAGCCUGAUCCAGCCAUGCCGCGUGUGUGAAGAAGGUCUUCGGAUUGUAAAGCACUUUAAGUUGGGAGGAAGGGCAGUAAGUUAAUACCUUGCUGUUUUGACGUUACCAACAGAAUAAGCACUGGCUAACUUCGU